rnacentral:rRNA from 1 species
UACGUAGGUCCCGAGCGUUGUCCGGAUUUAUUGGGCGUAAAGCGAGCGCAGGUGGUUUAUUAAGUCUGGUGUAAAAGGCAGUGGCUCAACCAUUGUAUGCAUUGGAAACUGGUAGACUUGAGUGCAGGAGAGGAGAGUGGAAUUCCAUGUGUAGCGGUGAAAUGCGUAGAAAUAUGGAGGAACACCGGUGGCGAAAGCGGCUCUCUGGCCUGUAACUGACACUGAGGCUCGAAAGCGUGGGGAGCAAACAGG